GCGCUCGCUUCGGUGGCACAUAUACUAAACUGGAAAUGACACAGAGAAGAUUAGCAUGGCCGCUGUGCAUGGAUGACAUGCAAACUCGUGAAGUGUCCCAUAUUUUU